rnacentral:rRNA from 1 species
UACGAAGGGGGCUAGCGUUGCUCGGAAUUACUGGGCGUAAAGCGCACGUAGGCGGCUCUUUAAGUCGGGGGUGAAAUCCUGGAGCUCAACUCCAGAACUGCCUUCGAAACUGAGGAGCUCGAGUCCGGGAGAGGUGAGUGGAACUGCGAGUGUAGAGGUGAAAUUCGUAGAUAUUCGGAGGAACACCAGUGGCGAAGGCGGCUCACUGGCUCGGUACUGACGCUGAGGUGCGAAAGCGUGGGGAGCAAACAGG